rnacentral:rRNA from 1 species
AUUGAACGCUAGCGGCAGGCCUAACACAUGCAAGUCGAGCGAGCGGCGGACGGGGGAGUAAUGUAUGGGGACUGCCCGAUAGAGGGGGAUAACUAAUGGAAACGGAAGCUAAUACCGCAUACUAUCGGAUAACCCAUAUGGGAUUAGCUAGUAGGUGAGGUAAUGGCGCACCUAGGCGACGACCCCUAGCUGGUCUGAGAGGAUGAUCAGGCACCAGGGGUAGGAUACACGGCCCAGACUCCUAGUGAGGCAGGAGGGGGGAAUAUUUCACAAGGGGCUGAGGCCUUACUCAGCCAUGCCGCGUGUAUUAAGAAGGCCCUAGGGUUGUAAAGUACGUUCAGUCGGGAUGCGUUACCGACAGAAGAAGCACCGGCUAACUCCGUGCCAGCAGCCGCGGUAAUUC